rnacentral:rRNA from 1 species
UACGGAGGGUGCGAGCGUUAAUCGGAAUUACUGGGCGUAAAGCGCACGUAGGCGGUCGGAUAAGUCGGAUGUGAAAGCCCUGGGCUUAACCUGGGAACUGCAUUCGAUACUGCCCGACUGGAGUAUGGGAGAGGGAAGCGGAAUUUCCGGUGUAGCGGUGAAAUGCGUAGAUAUCGGAAGGAACACCAAUGGCGAAGGCAGCUUCCUGGCCCAAUGCUGACGCUCAGGUGCGAAAGCGUGGGGAUCAAACAGG